AAGCGCUGUAUACGAGAACCGUACGUACAGUGCUGUGAGAGGACGGCGAUUAGUCACCGCCUCCUACUCGAU
rnacentral:ncRNA from 1 species